AUGGGAUUUUUGCUCCUUGUAAUUUUUGCUGUAGCAGCUUUGGAAGGUGUCCAGUCGCAGGUGCAGCUGGUGGAGUCCGGAGGGGAUGUGAAAAAGCCCGGAGACUCUCUCCGCCUCUCCUGCAAAGCCUCCGGGUUCACCUUCAGCGAUUACUGGAUGAGCUGGGUCAGACAGGCCCCUGGGAAGGGACUGGAAUGGGUCGCUAAUAUACACUACGGUGGGAGUACAUACUACCUUGAUUCAGUGAAAGGCCGAUUCACCAUCUCCAGGGAUAAUUCCAAGAGUGAGCUGUAUCUGCAAAUGACCGGCCUGAAGCCCGAGGACACCGCCCGCUAUUACUGUGUGCAGGGUUACUGCUUUGGGAACCAGAGCCAGCACAAGGUCCUCUUCAGCUACCGUGCCCUGCCACCUAAGGCCCUUUUGUAG